rnacentral:sRNA from 1 species
GAAACCAGGCUUGAAAAAACUUGCUUUCGGUUUGUGCUGAAGAUGAUGAGGUGUCUAUUAAUAAACUUGUGCUGCAGUCCUCCCUGUCAUGACAGGGCAGCAGGUGGGUCAAGGAUGUUGUCAUCAUUACCACAAACAGCCUUUGAGGGUCUGCUUGUGGCCUCGGGUUGCCUGGAUAGUUAGUGUUAGAGUGAUUGUGUUGUUAUGGUUGUCCCCACCUUAAUGAUGAUAACUGGGGUUGCUCCAAGACAUUGAGCCACUUGUUUAAGGUCAUGCUGGCCCAAGGAGCCAAGCUAAGAUUGAGUCCUCUGUGCAGUAUGUCCCAGGACAGAGAAAGAGCACGUAUUCCAUGCCAUUGGUUCACUUAGAUCAUUUUCAGCAGUUAUGAUUGAUUGAUUGAUUGAUUGAUUGAUUUACAGGCAGGGUCUCGCUCUAUUGCCCAGGCUGGAGUUGUAGUGAGCUGAGAUCGCACCACUGUGCUCCAGCCUGGGCGACAGAGCAAGAUUCCAUCUUAAAAAAAAAGAAAAAAAGA